AUGAACGCUGGCGGCGUGCCUAAUACAUGCAAGUCGAACGCUUCACAUAUGUGAAGAGUGGCGAACGGGUGAGUAAUACAUAAGUAACCUGGCCUUUACAGGGGGAUAACUAUUGGAAACGAUAGCUAAGACCGCAUAGGUGUCAUAACCGCAUGGAGAUGAUAUGAAAUAUGCUACGGCAUAGGUAGAGGAUGGACUUAUGGCGCAUUAGCUAGUUGGAGGGGUAACGGCCCACCAAGGCGACGAUGCGUAGCCGACCUGAGAGGGUGACCGGCCACACUGGGACUGAGACACGGCCCAGACUCCUACGGGAGGAAGCAGUAGGGAAUUUUCGGCAAUGGGGGAAACCCUGACCGAGCAACGCCGCGUGAAGGAAGAAGUAAUUCGUUAUGUAAACUUCUGUCAUAGAGGAAGAACGGUGCGUGUAGGGAAUGACAUGCAAGUGACGGUACUCUAUAAGAAAGCCACGGCUAACUACGUGCCAGCAGCCGCGGUAAUACGUAGGUGGCGAGCGUUAUCCGGAAUUAUUGGGCGUAAAGAGGGAGCAGGCGGCACUAAGGGUCUGUGGUGAAAGAUCGAAGCUUAACUUCGGUAAGCCAUGGAAACCGUAGAGCUAGAGUGUGUGAGAGGAUCGUGGAAUUCCAUGUGUAGCGGUGAAAUGCGUAGAUAUAUGGAGGAACACCAGUGGCGAAGGCGACGAUCUGGCGCAUAACUGACGCUCAGUCCCGAAAGCGUGGGGAGCAAAUAGGAUUAGAUACCCUAGUAGUCCACGCCGUAAACGAUGAGUACUAAGUGUUGGGAGUCAAAUCUCAGUGCUGCAGUUAACGCAAUAAGUACUCCGCCUGAGUAGUACGUUCGCAAGAAUGAAACUCAAAGGAAUUGACGGGGGCCCGCACAAGCAGUGGAGUAUGUGGUUUAAUUCGACGCAACGCGAAGAACCUUACCAGGGCUUGACAUAUAAGUGAAUAAUUAAGAGAUUAGUUAGCUCUUCGGAGCACUUAUACAGGUGGUGCAUGGUUGUCGUCAGCUCGUGCCGUGAGGUGUCGGCUUAAGUGCCAUAACGAGCGCAACCCUUAUCUUUAGUUACUAACAGGUCAUGCUGAGGACUCUAGAGAGACUGCCGUCGUAAGAUGUGAGGAAGGUGGGGAUGACGUCAAAUCAUCAUGCCCCUUAUGACCUGGGCUACACACGUGCUACAAUGGACAGAGCAGAGGGAAGCGAAGCCGCGAGGUGGAGCGAAACCCAGAAAACUGUUCUCAGUUCGGACUGCAGUCUGCAACUCGACUGCACGAAGUUGGAAUCGCUAGUAAUCGCGAAUCAGCAUGUCGCGGUGAAUACGUUCCCGGGUCUUGUACACACCGCCCGUCACACCAUGGGAGUCAGUAACACCCGAAGCCGGUGACCUAACCGAAAGGAAGGAGCCGUCGAAGGUGGGACCGAUAACUGGGGUG
rnacentral:rRNA from 1 species